UAAGCACUGGGGAUACUCAAUUGAACAAGAUACAGUCCCUGUCCCAGGAAAAAUGGACAAGUCAACAGGCAAUUACAAUCUACUGUGAUGCAUAUUAAGAAAAGAGUAAACAUUUGGAAUUCUAGGUGCACACUGAAGGGCAUUUAACUGAAUCUUGAGGUUGGGAAUGUUUAGAAGGUAUUGUUUAAGCUGAGGCUCAGUGGAUGAGAAAGACUUAUCCAAAUGAAAAGAAGGCACAGGAGAAGAGGAAGUUCAGAGACCAGAAGCGAAGCAGAACAAAACCAAACAAAGAGCACUCAAGGAUCCACAAGUAAUUUAUUAGGUAUACAGCUUCAAGUUCAAGGUGGGCAGAGAUUAGAGAUAAGGCUAAAUGGAUAAGUAGAAUUCAGGUUAUGAAGGACUGUCUAUCAUGUUAUGGAGUUUGGACUUUAUCUAGGUGAGGUGUCAUAGAAAGAUUUUUAAAGCCACCAGAAUGGUUAAAAUUAAAAAGAUAGACAAUACCAAGAGUUGAUGAGGAUGUGGAAUAACUGGAAUUCUUAUAAGACCUACCUAUAAUACAAUACCUACGAAUACCUACCUAAUACAAUACAACACAACAUAAUAAUAAUACCUACUAAUGCUCUCUGACCCAGCAAUUCUGCUCUAGGUUAUGUACCAACAGAAAUGUGUGCUUGUGUCAACCAGAAGAUAUAGGCAAAAAUGUUCAUAACAGUUUUAUUCAUAAUAUCUAAAACCUAUAAAUGAUUCAAACAUCCAUCAACAGUGAAAAGGGUAAAUAAAUUGAGAUGUAUUCACAGAAUGAAAUACUACAUAGCAAUAAAGAGGAGUGCCACAUACUGAAUGAAUAUCAUAGACAUUGAGUGAAAAAGUCAUACACAAAAAAGAACCUAUUGUAUGAUUCCACUUCUACGAGUUUUUAAAACAGGCAAAACUAAUUUGUGGUGACAGAAUUCAGAAUAGUAGUUACCUUGGGGGUGGAGUAUGACUCAAAUGAGGGCAUGAGAGAGCCUUCUGGAGUGCCAGAAUAUUCUCUGUCUUGAUCUGGUAUACAUAUUUAAAAACAUAUCAAGUCAUAUAUUUAAGAUUUGGGCACUUUACUAAGUUAAUACCUUUAUUAAGUUAUACUUCAAUAAAAAUUAAAAUAAAAAGAGGAAUGAGGGACCAGCCCCAUGGCGGAGUGGUUAAGUUUGUGCGCUCUGCUUCGGUGGCCCAGGAUUUUACCAGUUCGGAUCCUGGGCGCAGACAUGGUACCACUCGUCAAGCCAUGCCGAGGCGGCGUCCCACAUGCCACAACUAGAAGGAGCCACAACUAAAAAUAUACAGCUGUGUACCAGGGGAGCUUUGGGGAGAAAAAGGAAAAAUAAAAUCUUGAAAAAAAAAAAAAAAAAAGAGGAACAAGAGCUAGUCCUGAUGGCCUAGUGGUUAAAAUUUGGCACACUCUGCUUUGGCGGCCUGGCUUUGGUUCCCAGGCAGAGAUCCACACCACUUGUCUGUCAGUAGCCAUGCUGUGGCAGCGGCUCACACAGAGGAACUAGAAAGACUUACAACUUAAAUAUACAACUGCGUGCUGGGGUGUUGGGGACUUAAAAAAAAAAAAGAGGAAGAUUGGCAGCAGAUGUUAGCUCACGGUGAAUCUUUCCCAGAAAAAAAAAAAGAGGAAUGACAUAAAAUUUGUGUUUUGAAGUGUAGAAUUGGCUGGAGGCAAGGAGAAAAAUUAGCAAUAAUAUCAAUAAGCGAGUACUGGCCUGAAAUAGGGGAUGGAUUAAUGUUACACAUAAAAGAUAAGGAAAAGGAGGCUUAAUGUUUCCUGUAUGUGGUGGAUGAUGGAGAGGGAGGUAUCAAGAAUGAUUCAGAGGAUUCUGGUUUAAGCAACAGGAUGGACGGUGAUGACGUUCACUGAGAUAGAGAGUACAGAAGGUGGAGCAGCCUUGAGAUCAUAUUUAGUAAAUGAGAAAAACUCUGGGAAAGAGAACUGGGUGUGGCCAAGGCAGACCAUGCACUCUCUCCAGCUGGUCUGAUGAGAGGUUGGUAAUCUCAAUUUGAGUCACUUGCAUUUUAUUGGUACUGGAACGACAGGCUCUAGCAAGUCAGAGUGGUUGAGGGAGAUAUUUAGGAGCCGCUGUCACCUUGUGAAUAGAAAUCUGUGAUUUGAAAACAAGGCCUGUGAGAAAUAAAGAUGGAUUUAAAGCAAUGGACCCCAAGUUUUCAAAGUGCCAGAAAAUGAAAAAGUAAAGGUAGACUAUGCCAAAGGAAAUAACUAUGCUGAUACCUCUUUAGCCACGUGAUGAGGAAACCAAUCUUGGGCCUUUGAGAAUGAGUUUAUGUGGUUGGUUGUGUGCAGUGAGGGGUCAUGGGAAGGGCAUGGGCUCUGGGGCCAAACAGACACAGGUUCAAAUUCCACCUCCACAGCUUUCUUACACGGUGACUGAGGGCAAGCCAAGUAAACAUCUGUAGCCUAAGUUUGCUUAUUUGAAAAUGUGGCAAAUAAUACCCACCGUCCCAGGUGUGAUGUUUAAAUAAAUUCAUGUAUGUGGAAGAAGUUAAUUCAUUAUGGGUAUCCAAUAUAUGUGGGUUUCCCUUUCCUCUCGUUGUGGACAAAGCAUGUCUCCUGUUAAAACCAUAUAAAAAGUCCCAAAGGAUAAAUGCUGUUAAAGAUUGUUAUACAAGACUCUGAGAUUGAAUAAUUGGCCUUAUUAAGGUAGUUUAAAAUCAUCAGCUCGACAAAUGUAUUAAUUAGGAUUAGUUUGGCAGCAUUUAACCAAACCCCUAAAACAAAGUUGGCUCAAAAAUACGGAAAUGUAUUUCUCUGGUAAAAGAAGUCUGGAGGUCGGCGUUCCUGGGUUGGCCUGGCAGUUCUCUGAGAACAUGAGAGUCUCAAGCUACAAUGUUUCUGUCCAUCAUGUUGGCACAUGGCUUCCAUCUUCAGGGUACCUUUUGGUUCAAGACAGCAGCUGCAACUUCUGGCAUCUUAGUUGCAGGCCAAAAGAAGAGACAAGAUAGAAGGGCCACUUCCAGAUAUGGCAGAAAGUUCCAUAAGACAUUUCAGUUUACAUUUCAUUGACCAAAUUUAGCUGCAAGGAAAGCAGGAAAACAUAAUUCCAGGUAUUAGUAUGCCCAGACAAAAAUCUGGAUUCUGUUACUAAGGAGGAAGGGAAGAAUGCCUGUUGGGGUAGGCAACCAGUACUCUCUUCUCAGGGAUCUUAUUCAUCCAACAAAUAAUGAUUGUGUGACUCUAUUUGUUAGGCACCAAGCCCCAUUCCAGACAUUGGAGACUCAUGAGGCAAAAAAAGGGACAAAUUCUUAUCUUCACAGAGCCUACAUUCUAGUGGAAUAAUAAUUGAUAACGUUUAUUAAGUGAUUACUGUAUGCCAGGCACGAUUUUCAGCAUUUUCCUUGCAUUAAUUUAUUUGAUCUUCACAAAAACCAUUUGGGGUAGGUGCCAUCAUUGUCCAUAUUUUGUAAAUAACAGAAACUGAGGCACAGAAAAGUUAAUAACUUGCUCAAAUUGAUAUGUCAUAAGUGGUAGAGCCAGAAUUUGAACUCAGUCUAACUCCAAAAUGCAUGCUUUUAAACUGUCUGCUAUAUUGCUUCUCCUCAAUUUUUUCGUAUGUUGAAUUUUCUUUCUCUUUUCGGCAUAAAUAAUUGUUUAUAUGUUUUGGAGGCACAAAUAGUUGAGCCCAGUUCUCCUGCUUUUCUGUAGUGGUGGUGGGGCAUUGGAAGGGGAAUGGCUGGCUCUGCAUUCUGUGAGGAGUUAAUUGGAAAAAGUCACCCUAUACAGGACUUAGGAAAUCAUCAGACUCCUUGAGACUUACAGUGCAGCUCAGGUGCAGUAGGGAGUAGGAAGUGUCUUCUUUUUUAAGAGCUGUAACUUGGAGUCGGUGAUGGCAUCACUAAUUGCUCAAUCCAGAAACCUGGACAUCAUUUCUGACUCUUCCCACUCCUUCAAACCCACAUAUCAUCAAUUAGUCCUUUUGACUGAACUUCGUAAAUAUUACUACAAUUUGUCAGCUUAUUUCCAUCUCUAUUGUCACAUCUCCAAGUUCAUGGAAUUAUCAUCUUUUGUCUGUGUAAUUCAAUAGCCACAUUUAUGAUGUCCCUGCCUCCAGUCAAGCCCUCUUGGGUCCACUUUCCACACUGUAGCCAGGGGAUCUAAUAUCCACAGCUGGUCAAAUCACCUCCUUCUUAAAACCCUUCAAUGACUCCACCUUGUCCUGAGACUAACAUCCAGGCUCUUAACCUGACUUACAAAGUCUUCCUUUCCCAAAGCAGGCUGAAAGACUGUUGCAGGUUGUGUUCCCCAGAAAGCAGACUCAGAUGGAGAUUAGCAUGCAGAAAGUUUGUUAGGGAGCCCUCUUGGGUGGCACAUCGAUGAAGAAGAAGGGAAGGAAGGAGGACUGAACAGAGGAAGAAGUUAAAUUGUGAUGUGGUCUCAACAGAGGCCUUAGCUGCCAAUGUGUCCCCAUCUGAAGCUGGGAUGACCCAUCAGAAUUGUCCCAAGUUUGAGUAAGAGGGCUGGGUCUUUUUGUCUCCAUAUUGAUCAGCCAUUGGAUACGGGUUGUCCUGAGAAGGGGACAUGACCUUGGAUGGGGCCAUCCACACAUUCUACAUCCUCUUAUGCUAACUCCAGGCCCUUUUUAGAACAUUGACCCAAACUCAGCACUUCCUUGUCCCACACCUUUGAGUACUCAGCCCCUCUCACUAAUUUUUUCCAGUCUACACAGAGAGGGUAGGGUUAAGGUGAGGAUGGCUGCCCUUAGGCACAUUCUCCCGUUGAGCUACCUCUUAGGCCCUACACUGGACUCUUGCUUCUUUAUGAGGCUUGCAUCUUCUGGGUUCAGGAAUCUCAGCCCUCUCAGAGGUUUCUUUCCCUAGGCCUCCUCUUACCCAACCCCCAGAGGUAUUGUUUUGAGAACCUUCCCAAGGACUCAGGCAGUAUCUAAGGUCUAGUCACAUCUCCUCCCUUCUCUGCUACUCAAACUUUUAUUCUCUUUGAGUGGAAAAAUAGCUUUUACAUUAACCUUCAUCGAUCCCAAAUUGACUGAAAUAUUUUAUGGUGAAAUUCUAUGCUCUGAGUUCUCCAUCUUUGCCUUUAUUUUUUAAAGCCAGAUUUUUAUCCUUUUCUCUCUUAAGCAUCAGGUUUAGGAAGUUGAAAACCAUGACUUUGAAGAUUAUUGUCUCUGCCAUAGAUUUACAAAAGCCUACUCAAGAGCUCAAAAUCCAAAUAAUUCAAUUCCUUUUAUGCAUGUGUGCGUGUGUGUGUGUGUGUAUAAAAAUGUCUUCCUGCUCCUUGAAUAGUGAGGAGAAUGAUCUGGGCAAAAGGAAGAGAGAAAAACCACAUCGUUUAAAAAUCAAAUUUUAGGGGCUGGCCCGGUGGUGCAGCAGUUAAGUUCGCACAUUCCUCUUCUCGGCGGCCCUGGGUUUGCUGGUUCGGGUCCUGGGUGCAGACAUGGCACCGCUUGGCAAAAGCCAUGCUGUGGUAGGCAUCCCACAUAUAAAGUAGAGGAAGAUGGGCACGGAUAUUAGCUCGGGGCUGGUCUUCCUCAGCACGAAGAGGAGGAUUGGCAGUAGUUAGCUCAGAGCUAAUCUUCCUAAAAAAAAAAAAAAAAUCAAAGUUUACCCUGCUCUACACAUAAGCCUGCUCUGUCUCACUCUACCUCUCCCUCCCUCUUGCUCCCAGGGAUGAUCACCCAAAUAAAUUACCUGCAUCUGAGUCCCUAUCUCAAGUUCUGCUUCCAGGGGCAUCAGUGAAGGCAAUUGUAUUCCUCAUCAAUUUCACGGCAUUCUCCAGGGUGUCGUCUCAUGUCUGCUCAGGAACUGGCCCCUUAUGAUCUUCCAUGUGGUGUCCUUUUGAACUUGUCACCCAGCAGACUCUGCAACCUACCACUCUCAGAUAGCUGAGCCGUUGGCCACAGGAUUCUUUCUUAGGGAUCACACCUGCUACCACCAGUAGGCCUUCAAGGUAGAACACACUUUGGCAAUUGUGUAAUUUGACACAGUCAAAGGAGAUCAGUCUGUAACUUUUAAUGUGACAUGACUAAUGGUUCAGGGAUCAUGGAAGGGUAGAGCAAUAAUGGGAACAACUUAUACCCAUCACACAAGCCCAAAUCUGUCCUGAGGUUUCUUCCUGACAGGGCCAACUCGUUGCUUUGCUCAUGUACUGCCUCCAUGGCUGGAGGGUUAGUUCACAAUUCGACUACUAGAAUCACUAUUGGUACCUCCACACGUCAGAGUUCAAGCCAAACUGGCUCUCUGGCCUUAGAAAAAAAGGGUUUUUGUCCUCCUACUUCAUUCUAAUGAUGUGGGCUCGGCAAGCCGAGGAGUCAAAAGAAAGAUUUCUUGGACUCUCAAGGUCUGGUAGUAGCGCUCCUUUAUUCAGAGAAUAGCAUGGAGUAGCAUGGGGACAGAACCCAUGGGCAGUGAAGAGCUGCAAACAUGGGUUGAGGGUAGGGGUAAAUUUAAGGUAUAGGUAUGUGAGCUAUCUCUUUACAAGACAAGGAAAGAUUAUGUAAAAAAGUCAUUAAAAUGGUAUCAGUGUAGGUAGGGUCUGGUUAUUCGGUGGUCCUAUAGCUUUAGAUAAGAAUCAGAUCGGAUCAGGUCAGGAUGUCCUACACUUCCAGAGGGUGAUAUAGAUGGGUAUGUAGGGCAGGACACCUUGGGCUUUUCUCCCUUGGGGCAGCCUUGAUCCUCAUCACUAAAACCCACUUAAGUCCUGCAUAUCCUCUAUUUUUUUUCAAUCUCAAAAAUACAUCAUUUCCCUAAGAUAAUUGUUAGUGGGAUGUGUAUUACCUGCGGGGAAACCACCCCAUAGGCAUGUGAUCUGGUUCUAGGGAAUCAGUAAGACUCAAACACACAAUAUCUUUAAUCAUUACAUUUUCUAAAUCUUAAAAACAUGUCAUAUUUGAGAAAUCAAAGCCCAGUUUAGGUUAAGUCUGGUAGUCUGAUAGUUUCAACAUCUGGGUCAUCUCUAGUCUGUAUAAAACUUAGUUCCUUUUCAGUCUUUUUUUACUGAAUAUUCAAAAAUCUUGGGGAUCCAGUCUCACCCAGAGUCACCUUGUUACAAAUAUAAAUCAAAGAGGAUAGCAAGUUAGACAAUAUCUGGUUUAAAGCGACAGAAAUGUAACUCAUGCUACCUCAAGCAGAUUACAACAUCAUGGGGAAGACAGGAAUGGUGGCUGUCUUGGGGGUCUCCAGAACCAAUGGACCUGGACGCUGUUGGUAUGCUCUCCCUUGCCAUCUCUCAUCUCAGUUUCUUUAUUCUUUAUUGACUUUAUUCUUUCAGUCUUCUCUAAUGAAGCUGAACAGCAAUCGUGGUCUUAUGGCCUUAUAGGUUUUUCUUUAAAAGAUUAGAAUUAAGAAAAAAAUUCUUUUAUAUUUCCUAUAAUUUUUCUCAUUUCUGAUGCUCUUUAUUCCUUUAUGUAGAUCCAAAUUUCCAUCUAGUAUCAUAUGUCUUCUGCCUGAAGAACUUUCUUUAGCAUUCCUUAAUAUGCAGGACUUCUAACAAUGAAUUCUUUCAGUUUUUGUUUGUCUGAAAAAAAUCUUUAGUUUGCCUUUAUUUUUUAUUAUUAUUUAUUUAUUUAUUUUUGCUGAGGAAGAUUAGCCCUGAGCUAAUCUGUGCCAAUCUUCCUCUAUCUUAUAUGUAGGUCGCUGCCACAGCAUGGCUGCCAAUGCCUGCCAAUGAGUGGUGUAGGUCCAUGCCCAGGAACCAGGCCUGUGAACCCAGGUCACCAAAGUGGAGUGCACAUGAACUUAACCACUAGGCCACAGGGUUGGCCCCAGUUUGCCUUUAUUUUUGGAAGAUAUUUUCACUGGAUACAAAAUUCUGGGCUUACAGGUUUUUUCCCCUUUUCCUUAAAGAUGCCACUCCAUUGUCUUCUGGCUUGCAUAGUUUCUAAUGAUAAAUAUACUGUAAUUCCUUUCUUAUUUAAAAAAUAUUUUUGUUGUAAUUAUUAUCUUUGACUCUCUCUCUCUUUUUUUUUUUUUUUUUGAGGAAGAUUAGCCCUGAGCUAACAUAUGCUGCCAAUCCUCCUGUUUUUGCGAGGAAGACUGGCCCUGAGCUAACAUCCAUGCCCAUCUUCCUCUACUUUAUAUGUGGGAUGCCUGCCUCAGCAUCGCUUGCCAAGAAGUGCCAUGUCCACACCCAGGAUCCGAACCAGAGAACCCUGGGCCGCCAAAGUGGAACAUGUGCACUUAACUGCUGCACCACCAGGCUAGCCCCUCUGUGACUGUAUAUAGCACGCAGUGAAUACUUACAGCAUCCACAUGUCUGCUUCCACCAGGAGUGCUGAGCUGUGUGGUAACUUUAUUUUAACCUUUUGAAGAACUGUCAGACUCUUUUCUGAAGCGGCUACACCAUUGCAUAAUCCCACCAGCAAUAUAUGACCCAGGACUUCUCCAUGAAGACUUUCUAGACUUGUCUAUUCAAAGCCAACAGUGAACUUCUCCUGAAAAAGGGUUAUAUCAAUUUUAACUUUGUAUCCAAAGCAUGAGAACAAUGUGCUCCUGGAACAUAGUUUCUUCUGAGAUUUGUUGAUGAAUAAAGGAAAAGAAAUAACUGGAUAGGAAAGCUGUUCAUUUGUUUACCUUGUCAUCUUAACAGUCUGUUCAAAUAAUUUUGCCCAAUAUUUUUCAUUAUAUAACAACUAACCCUUAAGGACGUCUCCCAAGCCCAAACUAUCUCAAAAUAAUUAAAAUCGCAAUUGAAUUUAGGGAUGAGCUUAGUAUAGAAAUAGCCGCAGUAGUUGUUUCUAUUUGCUUGAACUCCACAAUGAGCUGUUUCAUGCUUCUUCACAUUUGAGAUAAUACUUCAAAUUUAUACCCACAAUGAAAUAAAGGCUUAAAAAUAAUCUGAUAUGACUUUUGAACCAUAAAAUUACUAGACUGGGUGGAGGGCUCAUUUUCUUCACAAAUUCAUUGUUCAUUUGGUACUCAUUCAUGCAAAUGUUGUAAUCUGUUUUAAAACCACUUCUAAGCUUUAAGAAAAAAAGAAAUAUAUAUAUAGUCAUGUAAACGAGGCUCUGGAAACUCUGCCUUCUGUUAAUCUUAAUAUCCUGAUGCAUUUUAUUCUGAAUAUUUUUAAGUUAUUUACUGCCAAAAAUAAUAUUAACACUUAUUCAAUAUCACUGUUUCAUGGCACCAGGCCUCAUGUGUAUCUAAAUACCUUUUUAAUCUUAUUCUUCGCUUGUAUAGAAUAUUUUAUUUCAAGGCCUGAAAUUUAUUUUUCUCAUGGAAUAAAAACAUCUUUGUUUGCUCUUUACUAUUUAAUUACAUUUUUCCUAUUCCAUACAAUUGUCAUCUAAUUGCAUUUGUUUCUGAUUGCUAAUCCAGUUAUGUUAGCAAGAAGAUGAAAUCUAUAGGAUAUUCUGGUUUGUGUAAUAAGCAAAAAUUGUCAAGUGUUGUGUGCUUCUGUCACAGAGAGACUGAUCUGCUAAAAAAAAUCUUUAUAAGUUAAGUUUAUUUUUUAUAGGUAAAAACAGUAAAGAGAGAAAUGGAGAAAACAAGUUAGCGAUCUAGAAUGAAUUCUCUCUAUUAAGGAAUAAGAAUAAAACUUUCAUAGAACUUAC
ensembl:lncRNA